rnacentral:rRNA from 1 species
UGGGGAAUAUUGCACAAUGGGCGCAAGCCUGAUGCAGCAACGCCGCGUGAACGAUGAAGGUCUUCGGAUCGUAAAGUUCUGUUGCAGGGGAAGAUAAUGACGGUACCCUGUGAGGAAGCCCCGGCUAACUACGUUCCAGCAGCCGCGGUAAUACGUAGGGGGCUAGCGUUAUCCGGAUUUACUGGGCGUAAAGGGUGCGUAGGUGGUCCUUCAAGUCGGUGGUUAAAGGCUACGGCUCAACCGUAGUAAGCCGCCGAAACUGGAGGACUUGAGUGCAGGAGAGGAAAGUGGAAUUCCCGGUGUAGCGGUGAAAUGCGUAGAUAUUGGGAGGAACACCAGUAGCGAAGGCGGCUUUCUGGACUGCAACUGACACUGAGGCACGAAAGCGUGGGUAGCAAACAGG